AUGUGCCAAGAUAUUUCAUAAACAUUUGACACAAAGACCCAUCAGCCAUUUUUAACAGCCCAUCCUGCGUCUUUGCACACAUAAACCCGCCCCAGCACGGUUCAGUCAGUCAGUGUGAACAGUUCAGGCUGCCGUAUAAUGUUGCGUUUUGUCGUCUCAGUGGCUGCAUCCCUGUGAAAUGCAGAGGAACGACGCUGGCACAGCGACCACUGCAGUCUGCGCACCGCACUCCGCAAAUCACGCCUCGCUGACUUCCCCUCUAAUUGGUUCCACACAAGCCACCGCGGAGAGCUCACCUGUUUUAAUUGGACUAUCGCGACCAGUUGUCCAAGUGACGUCGGUACGAUUGGUCAGCUUCUUCCAAUUGUCACAGGGAUAUCCGAGGAUUUUCGCGCGAGCCCUAAUUGAGCACAGAAAAGGACUCGAGAGACGCGCAGCUCACCAGGCCGAGAAGACAAGUGAGCCAGUCAUCAGGGAGCAGCGAGCACAGGCAUCUCAGUCUGUGAAUGGAUGAUGGACAGAAAGCUCUGAACGUUUCGAAAUGGACCGCCGCUAACACCCUGAAAUUUGGUGUAAAAAAACAAAUGAUUUGGAGGCAUCUUACGCAGCGCUGAGCUCCAACAUUGACUUUUUACGCGUGGGUAACAACUCUGGAAUCGACUGUUUUCCUCUCUAGACGGCAGUGCUGGAAGCAGGAGCUGCUCAGUCGUUAUUCCUGGCAUCGGCUGGCACGCUGAGACCAUCAGCACUAAAGCCUUUUUUGCGCAAGUGGUCGGUGCGCCCCUGCGUUUGGAGCCAUGGGUUGUACGGUGAGCGCCGAGGAUAAGGCGGCCGCGGAGAGGUCAAAGAUGAUUGACAAAAACCUCCGAGAGGACGGAGAGAAAGCAGCCAGAGAAGUGAAAUUGCUUUUAUUGGGUGCUGGGGAGUCUGGAAAGAGCACCAUUGUAAAGCAGAUGAAGAUCAUCCAUGAAGAUGGCUACUCAGAAGAUGAGUGUAAGCAGUACCGAGCUGUGGUUUAUAGUAACACCAUCCAGUCUAUUAUGGCCAUUGUUAAAGCCAUGGCCAGCCUCAAGAUUGACUACAGCAACCCUUCCAGAGUGGACGAUGCCCAGCAGCUCUUUGCUCUAUCUGCGGCCGCUGAAGAACAGGGCAUUUUUCCCGAUGACCUGUCCAAUGUGAUCAAGCGACUGUGGGCUGACAGCGGUAUACAGAGUUGCUUCGCACGGUCGCGAGAAUACCAACUCAAUGAUUCUGCAGCAUAUUACCUGAAUGACCUGGAGAGGAUAGCCAAAGCAGACUACAUCCCCACCCAGCAGGAUGUGCUGCGAACUCGGGUCAAGACUACUGGCAUUGUGGAGACUCAUUUCACUUUCAAGGAACUGCACUUCAAAAUGUUUGAUGUAGGAGGCCAACGCUCAGAGAGAAAGAAGUGGAUUCACUGUUUUGAAGGAGUCACAGCUAUUAUCUUUUGCGUUGCGCUGAGUGCUUAUGACCUGGUGCUAGCUGAGGAUGAGGAGAUGAAUCGAAUGCAUGAAAGCAUGAAGCUUUUUGACUCCAUCUGCAACAACAAGUGGUUCACAGAGACCUCCAUCAUCCUCUUCCUGAACAAGAAGGAUCUCUUUGAAGAGAAGAUUACUCGCAGCCCUCUUGCCAUCUGCUUCCCAGAGUACACAGGAGCCAACAAAUUUGAUGAAGCAGCUAGUUACAUCCAGACCAAGUUUGAGGACCUGAACAAGAAAAAGGACACCAAGGAGAUCUACACCCACUUCACCUGUGCCACUGACACCAAGAACGUGCAGUUUGUCUUUGACGCUGUCACUGACGUCAUUAUUAAGAACAACCUGAAAGACUGUGGUCUUUUCUGAAGCACAACUUGUAGUGGACUUUCAACAAACUGACUGUGGUUGUGGUCAUUACACCUGCCUUUUUGGUGCAACCUGCCAGGUCACAUUAACUGUCAGGUGUUUGCUCCCAGGUCAGAUUCAGUUUCAAAAUCCACUGCCUAAUGUGGUCUGUCUCCCAUUCCUGCAUAAAUUUAGCAUGUGUGGGCAUAAAUCUGGCCACAGUGUGGAUAUUGAAAACAACCUCAUGCAUUUAUCACACCACCUACCGACUUGCCUCACAAAGCCAGGCAUGAUUCGGUCGGACUUGAGUUUUUCAAAUGGCAUUACUGUGAUCACAAAUAAACCGAUACUCCAAAAAUGGAAUAUGACAUCCCCAAACCUUAGCAAAUAAAACCAAAAAUCAACCUCCCAUCCUUUAUUACUAUAACAUUGCAUGUUGUGUUUAGUAAGUGUAAUGUAAACUGAUUCAAGCGUUUGUGAUUUCAUUGCUGAGGACCAGAUUCAGCAGGAUAAAUAAGGAAACAUAAAGUUGAGUGCUGGACAAUUCCCAACACACACAGACUGCAACAGCCAUGAGAUGAUUACUGCUUUUCAUAAUGAAAACCAUAACAGACUUGAUUCCUAGAGGGGAAACCUGAAAGAAUUUCAACAAUCACUGAUUUGCAACCAUCACAUUCUCUGUCUAAUGUGUUAUCAUUUUUUAUAUAUAUAUUUCUUACUGCUCUUUAUCAGGGGCCCUCAUACUAUUCAUGCUGAGUGCCUGUUAAUAGACAUUUGACCAAGGAUAACCUAAUUGGACGAGAACCUCUAACAAUCAAGGGCACUCACAGUAGAAUUGCAGUUUUUAUAUUAGAUUUGUAACAUAAAUUAUAUUAGCCAACUGGCUCAAGUAGAAAAUAAUUGUUGGAAGAGUAAACGUAUAAUAAUAACUCAUUAUUUCAUCAUUGCAAAUAGCAAAAGAAAAUGCACAAAAUUAAAAGCAUUUUUCAUCCUUAAUAUCUGCAAGAACCAGUUUGAGAACCACUUGCUUAUUUUUUUUUUUUAAUUUUAGGUUUUCAUUUUCCUUUCCAUUUUGCUUUUGAAGGUUAACAAGAGGAUACAGUACAAAAAAACACACCUUUUUAUAAAAAUCACAUUAACUUAUGUUAACUAAUGUUGGCAUUUUAUGAAACCUUUGACUGCACAGAGCUUAUUUUUAGAAGAAAACAAACAUGCAUGGAGAAUGGAAAUGGAUGAAAGCAAAUUGUUUUUUGUACAAUGUUUACACAGAAUCAAUAUUCACAGUUGUACUAUAGUGCAUUGUUCUGCAUGACUGUCCAUAGAUUAGCCUGUACCCUCCCACAGACUGAAUAACAUUCCUUAAGUAACUUCUUUAAAGAAACAAAACAAAAAUGGCUAUGUGUCACUUUUAAGAUAUCUGCAAGAUUUUUAAGUGGUUAUGUCUUUUCCUAACAUAGAUUGUUCUGUACAAUUCGUUUCAUUCCGAGUCUUUUUACAUAUGUUUGUGCCUUGAUAUCUGUUUACACUUGUUCUUUAGAGACAUGCUAUCUUGAGAGUGUGAAUUAGGGCUAUUUCUACUCCACUUCAGUUCACAUAACCCGUCAUUUAAUGCACAACAACACUGAGACAAAUGGAUGAUACUCGUUCAUUGAUAUUAAGAUGAAAGUCAGUCACUUGUUAAAUGUAAAUAAAAGUUUGGUCACAUGA